GCUCCAAUAGUCCAAUUGGUAGAGACGGCACGCUUAGAACGUGCGCGAUCCAGGUUCGAAUCCUGGUUGGAGCACCA
rnacentral:tRNA from 1 species